AGAGCUUUACAGAUUGGAGACUUUCCCAACCCAGAUCGUGGGAUGGCAUAAUCAAUGAUUGCUGUCAGAUCACCCAAAACCAAGCUACAAUUGAUCCAGCAGCCAGACCAACAACUAGGAACAAAACAAUUACAAUCCCAGCAGUCUCUGCAUGCUGUAUUGGGACAACUUUGGGAGCCAAAAUCAUUAGAACACUUGUCAAGUAGCCAUUAGUAAGACCCAAAAGACAAGUCAGGAUUGUUACUGGGAUCUCGGUUCGAAAGAAUUUAGGACCAUGCAAGCAGCCGAAGAACAAAGGGAAAAAGAGCAGUCUUGCAAAACAACCACCAAUGGCAAGUUUGGCAUUCUCCAUCAUAUAGACUGCAGUCAAAGACUUGCCAACCAGAUCAAACACAUUGUAGCCGGUAAUGAGAAGGAUUGCAUACCAGUCCUUGAGAGUCUCAGAGUGCACAUCCUCUGUUAUAUAGCCCGGAAAUAUCGACAACGUCACAAUAUAAAUGAGCAGGAUCCCAAUCCCAUACCAUUUGACACUCCCAAUAAUCUCCAACAAGGUUGAUCUCCACUGAGCCCCAGUUAGGGACCCUUUCUCCUUCUUUUCCUCAUUCACAGCCUGAAUUU
rnacentral:misc_RNA from 1 species